GCCCUUGUGGAUCAUGGUCAAUCAUCUUUAUUCUGUUGUAUUUUUCUUUGAAAAUUUAUGAAGACGUCGUAGGUUCGAAUCCUACCGAGGGCA